UGCAAAUGUUACAUAUACGUCUGGGUGAUAUGAUAAAAAGUUUAUCAAGGACGCUAACUAUGCCGCCCAAGAGGACCGCCAUCUUUUCUCGUUGGUAUCAAUUUUGUUGCAACCUAAAAGUGUUGGAGAGAUUCGCCUGAGAACCAGCGACCCGCUAGACUAUCCGCUCAUAGAUCCACGCUACUACGAGAAUGAAGAAGACGUUAAAACCAUGGUGGCAGGGAUCAAGCUCGUGAUGAGGAUAUCAGCGACAAAUGCAUUCAAGUCUAUCGGAGCAAAGAUGAAUCCAAAUAACUGGAACGUGCCAGGGUGCACUCAGCACGGC